AUGGUGAAAGCAACUGAGAAGAUGCACAAUCUGAUACAGGAUAUUGAGCCAUCAACCUCAACUUCCAAACCCAAGAGAUUGAAGAACUGCCUCAUACCAGAUGCUGUGACAUCAACCUUGACUGCUGAACCAAAGAGAGUGAAGAUCUGCCUCCUACCAGAUGUUGAACCAUCAACCUUAAUUGAUAAACCAAAGAAAAUGAAGACUUGAUUAAAACCAGAUGCUGUGCCAUCAUCCCUCACUGCCAAACCAAAUACAGUGAAGAUUUGCCUUCAUCAGUUCCAGUCCAAAUGUAGCAAGAAGUUAAAAAGGCCCAAGGUACCUACCAAGAAGAACAAGAAAACCCUGUGAAGGAUGCUGA
rnacentral:lncRNA from 1 species